GGGCUGCAGUAUAUUGACUGUACAAAGGUAGCAUAAUCAUUAGUCAUUUAAUUGAUGACUUGUAUGAAAGAUUGGAUGAAAUAUAAACUGUCUCUUUAUUAUUUAUAUAGAAUUUAAUUUUUUAAUUAAAAAGUUAAAAUAAAAUAAAAAGACGAGAAGACCCUAUAGAGUUUUAUAUUUAAAUUAAUUAAGAUUAUUUAUAAAAUUUUUAAUUAAAAUUAUUUUAAAUAUUUUGUUGGGGUGACAGAAAAAUAAAGAUAACUUUUUUUAAAAAUUAACAUAUAUAAGUGAUUUAAUGAUCCAAUAUUAUUGAUUAUAAGAAAAAAUUACCUUAGGGAUAACAGCGUAAUUUUUUUUUUUAGUUCAAAUAAAAAAAAGAGUUUGCGACCUCGAUGUUGGAUUAAGAUAAAAUUUAAAUG
rnacentral:rRNA from 2 species